rnacentral:rRNA from 1 species
GACGAACGCUGGCGGCGUGCCUAAUACAUGCAAGUAGAACGCUGAAGGAGGAGCUUGCUUCUCUGGAUGAGUUGCGAACGGGUGAGUAACGCGUAGGUAACCUGCCUGGUAGCGGGGGAUAACUAUUGGAAACGAUAGCUAAUACCGCAUAAGAGUAGAUGUUGCAUGACAUUUGCUUAAAAGGUGCAAUUGCAUCACUACCAGGUGGACCUGCGUUGUAUUAGCUAGUUGGUGGGGUAACGGCUCACCAAGGCGACGAUACAUAGCCGACCUGAGAGGGUGAUCGGCCACACUGGGACUGAGACACGGCCCAGACUCCUACGGGAGGCAGCAGUAGGGAAUCUUCGGCAAUGGACGGAAGUCUGACCGAGCAACGCCGCGUGAGUGAAGAAGGUUUUCGGAUCGUAAAGCUCUGUUGUAAGAGAAGAACGAGUGUGAGAGUGGAAAGUUCACACUGUGACGGUAUCUUACCAGAAAGGGACGGCUAACUACGUG